rnacentral:lncRNA from 1 species
CACAGGUUUCGUUUCGCAAAAUUAUUUGCGCAAACAACAUUUCAAGGUCAUUUAUAAUUGAUUUGUCAAUUGUUAGAAACGUAAACUGGAAGUUUUAUUUUUUCACUACAGAAAGUGUUAUCAAUUUUGUUAGUGAUUAAAGCAUUUCGUUUCAUAAAAAAAAAGAUUGUUUAAUUAUUUUUCAGGGAUAAUGCAUUUGUUAAGGUCGGCGGGAAUAAAAAAGCAUGAAAGUCAAUUUUAUUUUUAUUCUGAAAAUCGGCAAAAUCGGGUCGGCGGAUCCGUAAACCAACAAAUUAAAAAAUUCUGGCCUUACAGAAGUGC